ensembl:lncRNA
UCAUGAUGUGUCAGCUGGUUUUCAUUUCUCUAUUUUGUUGUUAAAAAAAUAUCACACAACCAAAUGCAGAAGCUGCACUACUGACAGCUGCUAGAAAUGACAAAAGCGGCAUCAGGCCUCCUAACAGUGAUGAGUUCUCUGCAGAGAUAAACUCAUUUCACUCAACCUGCAGACAUUCCUGUUUUUUUUUCUUUCCUUUAACAGGUUGUCUGGGAGAAUGGAUGUACUUCAAUGGUAGUUUAUAUUACAUUUCUUCAAACAAGAAAUCCUGGCAAUAAAGUAGAAAUGACUGUCUCCAGAGAGGUGCAGAUCUGGAAUUCACAAGAAAUUUUCAAAAGCUGAUGUGGACAGGAUUGACUGACAGUGAGCAAGAGGGGAUCUGGAAAUGGAUGGAUGGGCCUCUGCUUAUUACAAGCUACUGGGCUGCGUAUGAGCCAAAUGGUUUUCCACAAAGAGAUGAGGACUGUGCAGAAAUAAAGAACUUUCAUUUCCAAAAUGCCUAGAAUGAUGAAUCAUGUGACCUUGAGAGAGUCUGGAUCUGCGAGAAGAAACUGGUUACAUAAAUCAGUAUCCAAACUCAUCACACAGUGAUGGAAAACAGAAAAGAAGUUCAUGAAAUGUAUAUGACUGAUCCUGUCAGCUCACUGUUAUCUACAGUAUAAGCUUUGCAUCAAAAGUCCUUAUCAUCACUUCCUU